GAGCGAACGGGGAGGAGCCCAGAGCCUGAAUCAGCAUGUGUGUUAGUGGAAGCGUCUGGAAAGGCGCGCGAUACAGGGUGACAGCCCCGUACACAAAAGCGCAUGUGUUGUGAGCUCGAUGAGUAGGGCGGGACACGUGGUAUCCUGUCUGAAUAUGGGGGGACCAUCCUCCAAGGCUAAAUACUCCUGACUGACCGAUAGUGAACCAGUACCGUGAGGGAAAGGCGAAAAGAACCCCGGCGAGGGGAGUGAAAAAGAACCUGAAACCGUGUACGUACAAGCAGUGGGAGCACAGGUUUACCUGUGUGACUGCGUACCUUUUGUAUAAUGGGUCAGCGACUUAUAUUCUGUAGCAAGGUUAACCGUAUAGGGGAGCCGGAGGGAAACCGAGUCUUAAUUGGGCGUUAAGUUGCAGGGUAUAGACCCGAAACCCGGUGAUCUAGCCAUGGGCAGGUUGAAGGUUGGGUAACACUAACUGGAGGACCGAACCGACUAAUGUUGAAAAAUUAGCGGAUGACCUGUGGCUGGGGGUGAAAGGCCAAUCAAACCGGGAGAUAGCUGGUUCUCCCCGAAAGCUAUUUAGGUAGCGCCUCGUGAAUUCAUCUCCGGGGGUAGAGCACUGUUUCGGCUAGGGGGCCAUCCCGGCUUACCAACCCGAUGCAAACUGCGAAUACCGGAGAAUGUUAUCACGGGAGACACACGGCGGGUGCUAACGUCCGUCGUGAAGAGGGAAACAACCCAGACCGCCAGCUAAGGUCCCAAAGUCAUGGUUAAGUGGGAAACGAUGUGGGAAGGCCCAGACAGCCAGGAUGUUGGCUUAGAAGCAGCCAUCAUUUAAAGAAAGCGUAAUAGCUCACUGGUCGAGUCGGCCUGCGCGGAAGAUGUAACGGGGCUAAACCAUGCACCGAAGCUGCGGCAGCGACGCUUAUGCGUUGUUGGGUAGGGGAGCGUUCUGUAAGCCUGUGAAGGUGGCCUGUGAGGGUUGCUGGAGGUAUCAGAAGUGCGAAUGCUGACAUAAGUAACGAUAAAGCGGGUGAAAAGCCCGCUCGCCGGAAGACCAAGGGUUCCUGUCCAACGUUAAUCGGGGCAGGGUGAGUCGACCCCUAAGGCGAGGCCGAAAGGCGUAGUCGAUGGGAAACGGGUUAAUAUUCCCGUACUUGGUGUUACUGCGAAGGGGGGACGGAGAAGGCUAUGUUGGCCGGGCGACGGUUGUCCCGGUUUAAGCGUGUAGGUGUGUGUUCCAGGUAAAUCCGGUU
rnacentral:rRNA from 1 species